GUUUUGAAGACCUUUACAACAGCUGAAACUAUGUUGAAUGUUCGAACCCUUAGGGAAUGGAUUUCAUCUUCUCUCGGGCCUGAUGCAGUUGCAAAGUGUAUGGAAUGGUAGCAGUCAGCACUAAUCUUACAAUGUUGAAGAACUGUUCAACAAGCAUAAAGA